rnacentral:rRNA from 1 species
UACGUAGGUGGCAAGCGUUAUCCGGAAUUAUUGGGCGUAAGCGCGCGCAGGCGGUCCUUUAAGUCUGAUGUGAAAGCCCACGGCUCAACCGUGGAGGGUCAUUGGAAACUGGGGGACUUGAGUGCAGAAGAGGAGAGCGGAAUUCCACGUGUAGCGGUGAAAUGCGUAGAGAUGUGGAGGAACACCAGUGGCGAAGGCGGCUCUCUGGUCUGUAACUGACGCUGAGGCGCGAAAGCGUGGGGAGCGAACAGG